AUGACAAGAAAGUCAUCUUGUCUUCUAAACAUGCAUGUGUGGCCUUGGCGUUGCAGGAACUUUGCAGCAUCCGGUGUAACCAUGCAGGUUAACGCUCUCUUUUUUUUUUUUUUCAGCAGCCAAAAAAACCCCAAAGCCCACAGCAUUUUAAGCACGUGGAACGCUUGUAAUAGGGCUGUGUUCCAUCCCCUGCCGCCCCCUCAGCUGGUGCUGGGAAGAGCAGCUGAGUUUAGCUCACUGUUCCUGGAAGUCACCAAGACACCGAGCAUUGAGAAACCAGCAUGCUCCGGAGCAGGAUCUGCCUGAAUGGAAAAGAUGAGCUGAACUUCAUCCCUCGCAUUCUCUAGCCUGGAUUAACCCUCACUACACCAAAAGGGACUGGGUUGCUCUUUGCUGUGAUCUUUUUAAAAGGGACAAAGGCUUUAUUCAUCCGAGUCAGGUGUUUGGGAGCCAAUCUGAAAGGCAGUAUCACAUCAUGGGCAAAAUGUAUCCCUUAUGUAACUCAGCUUCAACAGCUCUAUGCCGGGGUCACCUUUUAUUUUUUAAAUCUUGCCUGGCAAAACUGAAGCACAAGCAGCUGUUCAGCCAGCCAGACUGCUCUGGUGGCCAGCCCUUCCCCAGGCUCUGUGCUUUGGUAAGGAAAGUGCCUUCUGGAGCAGAAGAGCUGGAGCAAGGGACCAGGCCAGUAAGAACUUCUCAACCUCCCCCAAAUUCCCAGCUUCCCCAAAAUCAUCCCAGUUCAGUUAUACUUUGAGAGGGUAAUUACAGCGUGGUGCUAUGUGGUGAUGCACAGAACAUUCGAUAAUGCUACUCCCUGCUUUUAGAGCCAUAUGAAGACUAUGUAUGACAGAGAGCAAAUUCCAGUCAGUUAAAGAGAAUUGCUUAUAUGGGGGUCUGCAUCUGUGCUAUGGAUAAUGAGGAGGACUUUGUAGUUUGUGAAUCUUGCCAUUUGGAUUCUGUUUCUUGCUGCGUGAUUAGGGGCCAAGUGCUGCUUUCCGGUGUCUCAGUUUUCCCAGUCUGUAGUAUAGGACGUAGUGGUACUCUGCUUCACUUAGGGACUUUGAGGGUUUAUUAAUGCCUUUGGGGUCCCCAGGCACAGAGAUAUGUGGAAAUAGCAACUAUUACUGGGCCACUGGAAGCAUACUGGCUUGUUUGCUUCUUUCUUUGAGCUGCCCAAAGCUGUAAUUCCACAGCUGUGACUGUCACAGCCACCCCCUCCCUGGUCCCAAAUUUCUCCGAGUCUGGGGGCUAUGAUGAAUCUGAUGAGAUGCAGAAAACAGCUUAAGUUACCAGAAUAUAAUAGCUG
rnacentral:lncRNA from 1 species